AGAUAGAUAGAUAGAGAGGGAUGGAUGGAUGGACAGAUGGACAGGCAGAUAAAUGGAUAGACAGACAUGUGUAUAAGAAGAUAUUGGUUUAAAAUAUUGUGAAAUGCAUAUGAAUCUUCAAAAAUUGUCAAUUUUUAUUUUUUCAACAUAAGGUUCCUUAUGGAAAAGGUAGCAUGGAGACUUCUUUAACACUGAGAACCUUAGAACUGAAUAGACACAAAAUCACAAGGAACUUUAAAUUGUAAUGUGAUUUCCUGACAUAGAAUCAGAAACCUUCACACACUUCUGUGAAGCCAGACAUCUUUGAAGGAUACAGAGGACACACAGCUAUCAAUAUAUAGAUUGGAGCGGGGACGGAGGCGGCUUCUGGGGCGCCAUGGUGAACGCGGGAUCCCCACCUGGACAAUGUACCAACAUUUCCACCGCUUCAAAUUGCCCGCGGCUGAAACAGAGCCCGGGACUUCUGUCGAGGAGUGAUAGCGUCACCAGCGUUAACGCAAGAUCCAGGAACACAGAAGGAUAAGACGCGGCGUGAUGGCGUCACAGAGCGCGACGGGAAAACAGGAAGACAGUAGUGAAACGUCUUCAAUGACGGAGGCGUUGGCUUCCGGAGUCCCAUUGAGGACCUUGGGUCCAGGUCGGCACCGGGACGUAUGUACGUACUCAGGAAUCUGCGAUGGACACACCCGGUGCUCCCCCUGUUUCAAAACCCCCGCAAAGGACGCUUAGCCUGGCACUUCCGGCCAGGAGUGAUGGCGUCACGGGAAUCAGGAAGAGAGGAGGGCUGUGGAAAUAAAGGCAGAGCAGAGAUAUCUGGGCGUGGUCCAAUGUCCUGGUGUGACCACAGCAAACAGUAAGAGCGUGAGGAGGUGGGCGCCGCCUGAGGUCAUCACUGACCCGACCACAGGAAACAGGCCAAGUCACAGAACUGAACUAGGUAACUGGAGCCAUCCCGGCUUGAAAACGUCACAGGAGCCACAAAGUUACGGGAGAACCGGGUGAGAUGGUCCGAUGUGGCGCGGCAUGAAGUCGUCAUGAAGUGUGACAGUGACACCGCGACCAGGAUACAAUUAAAGAGUGACAUGCUCCAGGCACCGGCGCCCCGCGGCGCGACAGAAUAGCGACGGUCCUGAGGGACUCAGGCCGCGGCAUUCAAAGUGCUGACCCGGAAUCUUGAUGACUUUACUUGAUGGUGACAGCGGGGACUGGAUGCACACGCGCAGUCACGUCUUCUGAGGCUCUUCCCACAGCUUGGCACAAGUGGACACUUACUUGUCUUGGUUAAUAUGACUCUUUUUGACCUGUGUCAGCUCUUUGAAAGUCUGUCCAAAGUGAGCAGUGGGGUGAACAAUGGCGGCAGCAUCUUUAGGUAUCUGGAUCCAACCAUCAGGAGCUCUAAGCACUGACCCGCAAUGGCUGCCUGCCUCAGUUUGCACACCAGAUGGAUGCCAAUGCUGGUCUCUGUCAGGAAAGUACACAGAUUUCCUAAUGGUGCUUUCAACAUUAGUUCCUAUUAGAGUAUGUAACUGAAGAGGUAUCAGAGAUAACUCUUAUGUUUCUUUAACGUGAUAGAUGUUCCUCAUAUUUUUCUAAAUUUAGAAAUAUCUUGAACAUUGUGCCAUGUAAAGUAUUGAUUAUCGUUCAUGUGCAUGUUUUAACUUCUGCGAUUUAUUUAUUGACUUUUAAAGCUUCUAAUUUCAACACUAACUUCCAAACGGCAACAGAAGAAAAGUAAAACAACAUUAGGGGCAGAAGAAUAAUUUGGAUCAUGUGCGUUGGAAUAGAGGUACUGAACAGAACCACUCGAGUGGGAAGGGCCCAGGUCACCAUCAAGGAGACUAAAGCUGGGGUAGGAAGAGCAUGAGAAAGUCUCAGAGGUAUUGGGCCUGUACUGGGAAGAUCUUUUCAGAUACCCCUGGAAUGCUCUGAACUCACAGGCGGGGGAUUUACAAGUGGGACUCUUUAUCCUGGUAGCUAGAUGUGGAAAUGGCACUUCCAAGUCCUAUUUGGGGAUGGCUUGCCCAGGGAGCUUGGCUCAGUGGAGUGUAGAAUGAAUGCCAACAUUAACAAUAAUUCUGGUGGAAGUGCAAAUGUCUGCAUCAAGUUCUCAAAAAAUCCUUUUAUGGUCCAUCUGUUUGGACACACCCUGGUUCCAAACCUUGUUUUGCCUCAGGACCCACAUUCUUAGAAACUUGCUAGCUUGCUGAAGACUUGGCCUGCUUCUGCCUUCUUUUCUGCAACACUGACUGGAUGCUAAGAUUCACUCUUUGGCACUGUGACAUUUGAGCCUUUGCAAAAUAUAUUAUGUUUAUUCACGCGC
rnacentral:sRNA from 1 species